rnacentral:rRNA from 1 species
AGAGUUUGAUCAUGGCUCAGGACGAACGCUGGCGGCGCGCUUAACACAUGCAAGUCGAGCGAGAACCGGGGCUUCGGCUCCGGGGAAAGCGGCGAACGGGUGAGUAACACGUGAGUAAUCCACCCUCGGUACCGGGAUAGCCCGGGGAAACCCGGAUUAAUACCGGAUGGCCCGUCUGCCCUUCGGGGCGGCCGGAAAAGGUAGCUUCGGCCUCCGACCGAGGACGAGCUCGCGGCGGAUUAGCUUGUUGGCGGGGUAACGGCCCACCAAGGCGACGAUCCGUAGCUGGUCUGAGAGGACGAUCAGCCACACUGGGACUGAGACACGGCCCAGACUCCUACGGGAGGCAGCAGUGGGGAAUCUUGCGCAAUGGGCGAAAGCCUGACGCAGCGACGCCGCGUGCGGGAAGAAGGCCUUCGGGUUGUAAACCGCUUUCAGGAGGGACGAAGCCACUCGGGUUAACAGCCCAGAGGGUGACGGUACCUCCAGAAGAAGCCCCGGCUAACUACGUGCCAGCAGCCGCGGUA